UACGUAGGGGGGCAAGCGUUGUCCGGAAUCAUUGGGCGUAAAGCGCGCGUAGGCGGCUAGAUCAGUCUGCUGUAAAAGUCAAAGGCUCAACCUUUGAAAGCCGGUGGAUACUGUCUAGCUAGAGUCCGGAAGAGGCGAGUGGAAUUCCUGGUGUAGCGGUGGAAUGCGCAGAUAUCAGGAGGAACACCAACGGCGAAGGCAGCUCGCUGGGACGGUACUGACGCUAAGGCGCGAAAGCGUGGGGAGCGAACAGG
rnacentral:rRNA from 1 species